rnacentral:rRNA from 1 species
UACGGGGGGAGCAAGCGUUGUUCGGAUUUACUGGGCGAAAAGGGCGCGUAGGCGGCAACCGCAAGUCGACUGUGAAAUCUCCGGGCUUAACCCGGAAAGGUCAGCCGAUACUGCGGGGCUAGAGUGCAGAAGGGGCAACUGGAAUUCUCGGUGUAGCGGUGAAAUGCGUAGAUAUCGAGAGGAACACCUGCGGCGAAGGCGGGUUGCUGGGCUGACACUGACGCUGAGGCGCGAAAGCUAGGGGAGCGAACGGG